GGUGAAGGUUCUCUGUCUCCGAUCGAUGGUGAAGGUUCCCUGUCUCCGAUCGAUUCACGAUGGCGAGGUAAGCAAACAUUAAACCGAAAUUGAAGAAGGUGAACACCGAUAACCCCUGCAAAUCAGCCUCAACAACCAUUCCUGGUGAAGAAGCUUUGUCUCCGAUCGAUUCACGCCGGCAAACCCAGAUACGAUGUCUACUUGCAGUGUAACUUUCAUGAACCAAGUCGAUGGUCUGAGGUAUGUUAACGUUAUAUGCAAAUGUCACAGAAGAGCUGCAGUCAAGGUAUCGGAGUCCAGAGAAAACCCCAAUAGACUUUACUACACAUGUUCAGAGAUUGUACAGGAGAAUAAAUGUGGUUUUUUUUUGCUUGGUGUGAGCUAGUGAAUGUGACAGCAGUCAGAAGUGAACCUUCAAACAACCCAAGCCCUCAUGAUACAUCAAACAACCCAAGCACUCAUGAGUUUCAACAGUUGAAGUAUGAGAUACAUAGUAUGAAAAUAAGAUUGAAGCAGGUGGAGAGAUUCAAUGAAAGCUUGAAGCUGCUUGGACAAGUUGUUUAAUGUUUUGUGGUUGUUUUAUUGGUUGUAAUGGUUGUAAAAGUUUAGAUGUCUUUGUUAAGAUGUUUCUUUAGGAUUUUGAUAUCAAUGUACCUAAUCCAGAACUCUUUGAUGUUUGGUAUGGUUGGGCUGGUUGAAGGAAUAUGUAAUUGAAACCACUAUGGUAAUUAGAAUGUGAUCUUAUUUCUACCA